UUGGGUGAAACCCUAGCCGCCACUCCCCGUCCGGCCUCUCUCCUCCACUCCCCAUCGCGCCUCCUCUCCUCCACUCCCCGCAGCCGCCGACGAGCUCUCGUCCCCUCUCUCUUCGCCGAGAUGGCCACCACCAUUGCUCUCUCCUUGCCAUCGUUGGGAGGCGUGUCAGGCCGUCGCUCGCCUCCCUCCUGCUCCCCAUCGGGACAGGGCAGGAGGAUGAGCGCCCUCCCUCGCGACCGCCUCAACAAGAAACAGCUGUCGCUGUCGCUGCCAAUGAGGACAUCUAUUGGAACCCGUCCAUCUACUCCCACAUCUUCAUCUUCCCCAUCUCCGACGUGGCAGCGGGGGACGAGGGCGGCGAGGCGUGAUGAGCAUUCUGUCAGCGAAAUCCGCCAUUGACGGCCUCGAGGGUGCUGCUGCAGCACGGGGAAAUUCGUCUACUUCCACGGCAUAGGUUGUUUGUUGCUGCUGAUGUUCCUCUCCUCUGCAGCCAAGUACUAGACGCUAUAUGACUGAUCCGCCAAAGAGCGAACCUAUUACUCGUGUCUAAUGCAUUUUACCAACCAACACGACUGUGCUCCUUCAGAGAUCUGCCGCCACUGCGAAGCCCAGCUCCUGAGUGCUUCAAAGCAAAAGAAAGUCAUGCAGUAUGUUGCAAUUAUAUUGUGAUGAUUGGCAUGGAGAUGUUGUCGUGUGGCCAAUCAUCAAGUGAAAUGAUCGGACGACCAGUAAGCCCAAAUCACCGAGGACCACAUCACCGCCGCCAUGGAUGCAUCAUAUCAAGGUGUUUGCCUUACAGUUAAGGUAUUUUCCAUCCUUAUUCUACACAAGCAAACACAUUGGUCUGACUAAGAAGUUCAAGGAGAAUGACAUGGCUUAUGCUGGGUCUGCAACAUUCAGUUAUGUGGCAUUCAUGUUGACUGAGAAGAUCUUUUCUGUUGUUGACAUGAUUUUGGAGGUUUGGUUCAAUUAGAAAGAUCAAUGCCAUGUGACCAGCAUAGAAGAUAUUUUCUUAUAACUACCCCUUCCUAUCACUUUAUCAUCAUUCCUGGUUGUGCGUUAAUGAAAACUUACCUUCGGAGAAAAUGAUAAUUAUCUAUGCUAGGUGCUAGCUAACUUUGUUUACCGAGUUUGCAUUUAUAAUGUUCCAUCUUACCUAAUGUUGUUACUAUUGCAGCUUGCAAGGACAGCUUAGUUGACUGCAACCUAGAUCAAUGUGCAUUGGUCUGGAAACAAGAACAACCCUUUAGAUUCUCGAUAUGGUCAUUGUGAAUAGCGAGGUCGAUAGCUAUAUAUUUGUCCCUGGCAAGAGGACCGAGUGUGGGCGGGUGGGCAUCGGCAAGACGGGUGAUACGUCCAUUUUGCAUCAUGCUUUUAUAUCAAUAUUUAUUGCAUUGUGGGCUGUUAUUAUACAUUAUAUCUCAAUAUUUA